rnacentral:rRNA from 1 species
AGAGUUUGAUCCUGGCUCAGGACGAACGCUGGCGGCGUGCCUAACACAUGCAAGUCGAGCGAUGAAGCCCUUCGGGGCGGAUUAGCGGCGGACGGGUGAGUAACACGUGGGUAACCUACCUCAAAGAGGGGGAUAGCCUCCCGAAAGGGAGAUUAAUACCGCAUAACAUUAGUUUUUCGCAUGAAGAACUAAUUAAAGGAGUAAUCCGCUUUGAGAUGGACCCGCGGCGCAUUAGCUAGUUGGUGAGGUAACAGCUCACCAAGGCGACGAUGCGUAGCCGACCUGAGAGGGUGAUCGGCCACAUUGGAACUGAGAUACGGUCCAGACUCCUACGGGAGGCAGCAGUGGGGAAUAUUGCACAAUGGGCGAAAGCCUGAUGCAGCAACGCCGCGUGAGUGAUGAAGGCCUUCGGGUUGUAAAGCUCUGUCUUUGGGGACG